GAGUGCAAAGGCUUAAUGUUCUCGACGGCUUCGCGGAGCUGCGACGCCUCCAGGGCGCCCACCCCCGCCACAGCCCCGGCCCAGAAAUCCUGGAGAGUGAAAAGGGACCUCUGGAACUUCAGAGAUGAAGGGGCUUGAGGAAGUGCCACCAGCCCAUUUUGCUGAUGGCAUGACCAAAGAGGAAAGAGCCCAGGCCUCUGGACUUCUGGCUCACUGCUGGCCACUGCAGCUGAGGUCAAGUUUACGGGAGAAGGAGAGGGUCAGCCAACCACUGUCUAAGGACCCUAGUCAUCUGUGAAAGUUUGGAGGAACAGGUGGCCAGAGUUCCAAACCUCUUCUGUUCGGGGUGAAGGACAUUUUAGAGUCAAAGAAUUUUAGAUGCAAAACCUCCUAAUUGCCACCCAUCGGCCCACUUCAAACCUCUGAAAUUGGCCUGAACGCUGUGUGCCCAUACAGUAUGGAUGCUACAGCUGCCAUUCUUCAGACACCUAUCAUGUGCCAGACAUUCUGCUGGGUGAGCUGCCCUCGAAGGUCAUUAACCUGCACAACAGUCCCUCAUGGAAGCGUUGCUAUCCCAGCACCACGGACAGUCUUCAAGAAUUUGCUGACAGCUCUGCUGGCCUCCCUCUUCCUUUCUUCAGCAUCAGGUGCUCAUGCCAUCCUGCUUCCUUAGCCCUCAUGCCGUCUUCACUUCUGCUGCACAUAUCUGGUUUGCCAGUGUCUAUUUCUGGUCCCUGGAAAUGAACAUGAACUCAGAAAGCAGUAAGAUAGAAUACAGUCGGCUAAAGUGAAUCAGGGGCUAAAACAAGCCGCUGGAGAAACACACUAACCUCAAGAACCAUUGGAAACAGUGCACAAUGUCCUGUUUGAACAGUACGGGCUCUGAAUGACCAGAGGCAAGGUCAGGGCGACUUCAAGCGGGAGGAGGCCUGAGGAUGGGAGGAUUCUAAUGGAAGGAAGCGGGAGGUGGGGAGGCCACCAGACACGACACCGGCCUCUCCCGGUUUUUCCUCUCGUUGCUGCCAACCCUGAAACUCUCAAAACCAUCGGUCGCAUCUUUGCCUGGGGGCAAGAGGCAGACCUCUAGCAUCCUCUGCAGGCUUCGGUCCUGGGAUCUUUUAGAUGGGUUGCCUCCUCCCUCACGCUGCAGAUGAGAUAUUCUGCAGCAGGCCACUCUUGCUGCUUCCCUGACAGAAAGAGAAGGGAGAUGCGGGUGGGAAGGCGGGCGGGGACAGCAGAGGGGCUUCCUGCAAAGCCCAGGCUGACUGGCUCCGAGAAGGAUAAAUGACUCCGGUCACCCCGCCGCCGGUGUUACACAACUUGUCUGUGUUGGCUUGAGACCUCAGUGAUCCCCCUCUAAUUGAAAUCACUUUCCCCUGACCUCCUCCAUAAGCCGGGAGCUUGUUGCUCUCUCCGCCAACAGAGGAGCCGCGGAGGUCGGAAGAAAUCCUGGCUGGGCAGCCGGACGCGCGCCACCCCAUCCAUCUUCCCGGCCACUGGGUCCUCGCCGGCUGGGACGCCCGGGUCGGAGCUGGCGUCGAGGCCCUGCUCCCCGGAAGGCCCCCGCUGGGUUCCGAGAUGGUGGGGAAGCUGGCAGUGGGGCUGGGACUGCCCCCUAGAGGGCAUUUGGGUAUUUUGUGCGGGUCUGUUGAUUGGUGCCACAGUUGGGGAUGCCUCUGCGUGGGGAGAUAAGCCUGGGAUGUUGGAAAUCCGGCCAUGUGCGAGGCAAGCCCACAUUUGCCUAGAGAAACCUGCCAGUCUGUACAGAUGAACAGCCUGCUAUGACUGGAGCCUAAACUCUGUUCCACGCAUAAAUCAAAGUAUUUUUGAUUAAAAUAUACUCUGGUGUUCCCAAGAAAGCAGCUACCACGUAAAUCAAAGGAAACGGGAGUGUUUUUUCCAGUUCAUCUUAAGAGUUGUUUACCAUUUAGACACAUGACAAUAUUUGAACUAUGGCAGUAUAACAUAUCUGUAACAAAAUUAUCUAUCUGUGUGUGUAUAUAUGUAUGUGUAUAGACAUAGAGACAUAUAUGGAUAUAUACACACAUAUGCACACGCACGCACGCACACACUCACACACACACACCCCAAACAUACUUUUUAGCCAUUUUUCUCAAAAUGUCAAAUAGAAAGAAGUUCCAGUAGCCUUCAGUCAAAUAUCAUCUAGUCUUAAAUACAAACUUAUUUACUAUGAGUAGAUGCAAGACUCACUGUCUUC